CCCAUGCCAGGGGUUCAGACAGCAAUACUUGGUAAAACUUUGAGUUUGUUCGUGUCAGUCGUGUACGUUGACGUUUAAAAGUGAAGAGGUGACAAUCUGGUGCAGAGAAGAGGAAAAAUAGGAAAAAAGUGAGCAAGGAAGCUUUACACAAAAGAUUCGUUUGGAAACAUGGGGGAAACUGCUCUGAAAUAUACACAAAAAAGGGUUGUGAAAGAGAGGCUAUCUAUCUGAGCCAACAAACAAACAUUGACUGGUGCUUCAAAGACAUCAAGCUGUCAUUCAGGGGUCCAGCCGAUUUUAAUCCUCAACAUCAGAACUGCAUCUGGAACUGACAGAUUCAUAAAAG